UACGAGGGGGGCGAGCGUUGUUCGGAAUUAUUGGGCGUAAAGGGUGCGUAGGCGGCCUGACAAGUCUGAUGUGUAAUCCCUGGGCUCAACCCAGGGCCUGCAUCGGAAACUGUCGGGCUUGAGUAUGGGAGAGGUGAGUGGAAUUUCCGGUGUAGCGGUGAAAUGCGUAGAUAUCGGAAGGAACACCUGUGGCGAAAGCGGCUCACUGGACCAUUACUGACGCUGAGGCACGAAAGCUAGGGGAGCAAACAGG
rnacentral:rRNA from 1 species